GACGAACGCUGGCGGCGUGCUUAACACAUGCAAGUCGUACGGUAAGGCCCUUUCGGGGGUACACGAGUGGCGUACGGGUGAGUAACACGUGAGUAACCUGCCCACAACUUUGGGAUAACGCUAGGAAACUGGUGCUAAUACUGGAUAUGUGCCCCUGCUGCAUGGUGGGGGUUGGAAAGCUCCGGCGGUUGUGGAUGGACUCGCGGCCUAUCAGCUUGUUGGUGGGGUAGUGGCCUACCAAGGCGGCGACGGGUAGCCGGCCUGAGAGGGUGACCGGCCACAUUGGGACUGAGAUACGGCCCAGACUCCUACGGGAGGCAGCAGUGGGGAAUAUUGCACAAUGGGCGCAAGCCUGAUGCAGCAACGCCGCGUGCGGGAUGACGGCCUUCGGGUUGUAAACCGCUUUCAGCAGGGACGAAGCUUUUUGUGACGGUACCUGCAGAAGAAGCACCGGCUAACUACGUG
rnacentral:rRNA from 1 species